UGCACAGAGAGGAGGUGUGACAGAGCUCGU
rnacentral:piRNA from 1 species